GGUUAAGCGACUAAGCGUACACGGUGGAUGCCCUGGCAGUCAGAGGCGAUGAAGGACGUGCUAAUCUGCGAAAAGCGUCGGUAAGGUGAUAUGAACCGUUACAGCCGGCGAUGUCCGAAUGGGGAAACCCAGUGCAAUUCGUUGCACUAUCGUUAACUGAAUACAUAGGUUAACGAGGCGAACCGGGGGAACUGAAACAUCUAAGUACCCCGAGGAAAAGAAAUCAACCGAGAUUCCCCCAGUAGCGGCGAGCGAACGGGGAGCAGCCCGGAGUCUGAAUCAGCUUGUGUGUUAGUGGAAGCGUCUGGAAAGUCGCAGGGUACAGGGUGAUACUCCCGUACACUAAAACACACAGGUUGUGAACUCGAAGAGUAGGGCGGGACACGUGGUAUCCUGUCUGAAUAUGGGGGGACCAUCCUCCAAGGCUAAAUACUCCUGACUGACCGAUAGUGAACCAGUACCGUGAGGGAAAGGCGAAAAGAACCCCGGCGAGGGGAGUGAAAAAGAACCUGAAACCGUGUACGUACAAGCAGUAGGAGCCCACUUGUUGGGUGACUGCGUACCUUUUGUAUAAUGGGUCAGCGACUUAUAUUCUGUAGCAAGGUUAACCGUAUAGGGGAGCCGCAGGGAAACCGAGUCUUAACUGGGCGUUAAGUUGCAGGGUAUAGACCCGAAACCCGGUGAUCUAGCCAUGGGCAGGUUGAAGGUUGGGUAACACUAACUGGAGGACCGAACCGACUAAUGUUGAAAAAUUAGCGGAUGACUUGUGGCUGGGGGUGAAAGGCCAAUCAAACCGGGAGAUAGCUGGUUCUCCCCGAAAGCUAUUUAGGUAGCGCCUCGUGAACUCAUCUUCGGGGGUAGAGCACUGUUUCGGCUAGGGGGUCAUCCCGACUUACCAACCCGAUGCAAACUACGAAUACCGAAGAAUGUUAUCACGGGAGACACACGGCGGGUGCUAACGUCCGUCGUGAAGAGGGAAACAACCCAGACCGCCAGCUAAGGUCCCAAAGUCAUGGUUAAGUGGGAAACGAUGUGGGAAGGCCCAGACAGCCAGGAUGUUGGCUUAGAAGCAGCCAUCAUUUAAAGAAAGCGUAAUAGCUCACUGGUCGAGUCGGCCUGCGCGGAAGAUGUAACGGGGCUAAACCAUGCACCGAAGCUGCGGCAGCGACACUAUGUGUUGUUGGGUAGGGGAGCGUUCUGUAAGCCGUUGAAGGUGGCCUGUGAGGGUUGCUGGAGGUAUCAGAAGUGCGAAUGCUGACAUAAGUAACGAUAAUGCGGGUGAAAAACCCGCACGCCGGAAGACCAAGGGUUCCUGUCCAACGUUAAUCGGGGCAGGGUGAGUCGACCCCUAAGGCGAGGCCGAAAGGCGUAGUCGAUGGGAAACAGGUUAAUAUUCCUGUACUCGGUGUUACUGCGAAGGGGGGACGGAGAAGGCUAUGUUGGCCGGGCGACGGUUGUCCCGGUUUAAGCAUGUAGGCGGAUGUUCCAGGUAAAUCCGGAACGUCACUAACGCUGAGGUGUGAUGACGAGGCACUACGGUGCUGAAGUGACAAAUGCCCUGCUUCCAGGAAAAGCCUCUAAGCAUCAGGUAACAUCAAAUCGUACCCCAAACCGACACAGGUGGUCAGGUAGAGAAUACCAAGGCGCUUGAGAGAACUCGGGUGAAGGAACUAGGCAAAAUGGUGCCGUAACUUCGGGAGAAGGCACGCUGAUGGUAGGUGAAGCGACUUGCUCGUGGAGCUGAAAUCAGUCGAAGAUACCAGCUGGCUGCAACUGUUUAUUAAAAACACAGCACUGUGCAAACACGAAAGUGGACGUAUACGGUGUGACGCCUGCCCGGUGCCGGAAGGUUAAUUGAUGGGGUUAUCCGUAAGGAGAAGCUCUUGAUCGAAGCCCCGGUAAACGGCGGCCGUAACUAUAACGGUCCUAAGGUAGCGAAAUUCCUUGUCGGGUAAGUUCCGACCUGCACGAAUGGCGUAAUGAUGGCCAGGCUGUCUCCACCCGAGACUCAGUGAAAUUGAACUCGCUGUGAAGAUGCAGUGUACCCGCGGCAAGACGGAAAGACCCCGUGAACCUUUACUAUAGCUUGACACUGAACACUGGUCCUUGAUGUGUAGGAUAGGUGGGAGGCUUUGAAGUGUGGACGCCAGUCUGCAUGGAGCCAUCCUUGAAAUACCACCCUUUAAUGGCUGGUGUUCUAACGUGGGCCCCUGAUCGGGGUUGCGGACAGUGUCUGGUGGGUAGUUUGACUGGGGCGGUCUCCUCCUAAAGAGUAACGGAGGAGCACGAAGGUCAGCUAAUCCUGGUCGGACAUCAGGAGGUUAGUGCAAUGGCAUAAGCUGGCUUGACUGCGAGCGUGACGGCGCGAGCAGGUGCGAAAGCAGGUCAUAGUGAUCCGGUGGUUCUGAAUGGAAGGGCCAUCGCUCAACGGAUAAAAGGUACUCCGGGGAUAACAGGCUGAUACCGCCCAAGAGUUCAUAUCGACGGCGGUGUUUGGCACCUCGAUGUCGGCUCAUCACAUCCUGGGGCUGAAGUAGGUCCCAAGGGUAUGGCUGUUCGCCAUUUAAAGUGGUACGCGAGCUGGGUUUAGAACGUCGUGAGACAGUUCGGUCCCUAUCUGCCGUGGGCGCUGGAGAAUUGAGGGGGGCUGCUCCUAGUACGAGAGGACCGGAGUGGACGCAUCACUGGUGUUCGGGUUGUCAUGCCAAUGGCAUUGCCCGGUAGCUAAAUGCGGAAGAGAUAAGUGCUGAAAGCAUCUAAGCACGAAACUUGCCCCGAGAUGAGUUCUCCCUGAC
rnacentral:rRNA from 1 species